GAAAUGCAUUGACAAUUCUGGUAGUAACGUGACAAAAUGUGGAAGUUUGAAUGCUUUUGCAAGCCUCUGUGUAUGCAAUGAUCAGUUUAGGUUAGUUUUCAGACAAUAAUUACAAAAACUAUUUUAUUUGAAAUGAGUAGAAA